rnacentral:rRNA from 1 species
AUCGACCUGAACUCAGACGUGAGC